CGCCUCAACUCCACCUCCGCCUCCAAAUCCGAUCGAUCUCCGAGGCCUCCAGAUCCCCGGCGGCCGGAAGACGGCGAGCUCAAGGCGGUGGACACCCCUCGCAGCGCUCGUCUCCUCUCGCUCUCCCAAUCCCCUUACCAGUUCUACAAUGAGUAUCUCAUUGCGGGAUCGUAUUAGAAAGAGGAGGGAAGAAGAAGAAGAAGAUGACAUGAUGAUAUUUAUUGGGAAGCAAAGUAUUGGAAAAAACUGCAUUUAGUUGAUGAUCCACUAGAAGUUUAAGCUAUGUCCCACUCGAGUCUUUAUACAGUGGUGAUGUCUCUUGUUAUGCUAUGUUCACUGCAUGAUUUUUGUUUUUGGCAUGUCUACAACUGGUUCAGCUGUUCAGCUGCUCAUUGUGGUUGCAGUCAACCAUAAGAUUGUUGUCUUAGCACCUUUGAUAUGUCUUAGCAAAAACUCCCAGUUCACUCUUUGAUAUGUCUAGAUUGAACCAGUUCACUCUUUAAUAUGUCUUAGCAUUGAACUUGUUUUAGAUUCAACAAAUAUUCUUGUCACGGUGCCAGCAAUAUAUUAAAUCUACAUUGUG
rnacentral:lncRNA from 1 species